GAGUUGUUCGAUCAGUCGCUAGAGCCGUUGACUCUUAAUCAAUGGGGCGCAGGUUUGAACCCUGUACGACCCGCCA
rnacentral:tRNA from 1 species